CCUACGGGAGACAGCAGUGGGGGAUAUUGGGCAAUGGGCGCAAGCCUGACCCAGCGACGCCGCGUGAGGGAAGAAGGCUUUCGGGUUGUAAACUUCUGUCAGCAGGGAAGAAUGGAAGACGGUACCUUACGCAUAAACCCCGGCUAACUACGUGCCAGCAGCCGCGGUAAUACGGAGGGGGCAAGCGUUGUCCGGAUUUACUGGGGGGAAAGGGCGGGUAGCCGGGUUGACAAGUCAGGUGUGAAAUGCCGGGGCUUAACCGCAGGACUGCAUUUGAAACUGUUGAACUUGAGUACUGGAGAGGCAGGUGGAAUUCCUAGUGUAGCGGUGAAAUGCGUAGAUAUUAGGAGGAACACCAGUGGCGAAGGCGGCCUGCUGGACAGUAACUGACGGUGAGGCGCGAAAGCGUGGGGAGCAAACAGGAUUAGAUACCCCUGUAGUC
rnacentral:rRNA from 1 species